CCGCCGACCCCGGUCCUCCGCGGCCGCCCCUUACCUUGGCCUGGCAUUUCCGAUGACAGGAGAAGCUGCAGACUGCGGGAGGGAGACAGAAAGAAAGUUUUAGCCGCGAGCUAGGGCCGCAUCCGCAGACCCCAGAGCCUGACAUCAUCCGUGCAGUUCAGAGGAAGGCCCACUGCCUGUGCAGACUGGCCUGUGACCCACAGCCAGGCGGGUGUGCCGGACCAAUGCAAGAUUGAGGAUGGGACAAGAAGGGAAACUGCGGCAGCCAGCCUCCGAGAACUCAUGCCUAGGGCUGAUGACCAAAAGCAGGUGAGCAGGCCUCCUCCAGCAUGAGCUGCUGCCAUGUCUGUGUAACCACAAUCCCGAGCCAUCAGAGACUGAAAUUGAGCCAAAAUUAGCUUAUCUGCCUGCUUAGAGGUGCAGGGAGAAACAGGACCCUGACAUCUGUCUCCUGAGGUCCUUUCCACUGCCUGGAAACCACAGACACAGCACAUGUCAAGGUCCACCCCACCUGGGCAGACUAUGGCCUCCCCACUCCUUGGAGGGCUCUGAAAGCACAAAACCACCCACAGCACCCUCCUGUGAGAAAAUGAGCGCAGAGCCUCAGUGUAUGCACCUGACCCAGCCAUCAUCCCCAGGCCUGGCCAGGCCUCAGCGCCUCCUAGAUCCCUUGUCUGCUGCAGACUUCAGUGGGCCCUGCUCACAGCCUGGGCGGCAGCACUGCUCCCAGGACCCGUGGGAAACCCUGUACAUCCCUCCAGACCUCUCCAGCACACCCCUUCCCUCGCUGCUGAAGCCUAACAAGAUCUUUGCUGAGCCAAAGAGAUCCUGCUUCGUCCCAGGUUCCGUGACCACCUGACUGUGUCCUCCCAGGGCAGCGAGGGGUCAGCGCCAGCACUCAGCACCAGGUUCCUCGCGGCGGCUGCCUAUGGCAGAAGUGCCCUGUGGAGAAUGAGUUCUGGGCCUUGCUGUUCCACGCCCCAGUCCACAGACAGCUGCCCAGCCACUGAUCCAAGUGCUCACUAUGUUAAGAGGCAAGACUCAAAGACCGGUAGGAAACAGGCAGCCCAGGGAACCUUCUGUGUUGAGCUCGGUGAAUAAGAUGUAGGCUGGAGUUUAUUCCACCACAGCCCCUCUACCAGGGGACAACUUGUACAGCCAUAUCUAGUGACCUAGAUGGAUGCGACGGAUAGUGUGAGUGGUCGGGUGGAUGGACAGAUGGCAUGGGUGGGUGGAUGGAUAGGUGCUUGAGACAGAUGGUGGCUAGGUGGCUGAAUGAGUGUGUGGGGAGAAUGAAUGGAUAUAUGAGAGUGACGGGAGAGCGGUGAAUGGAUGGGCGAUGGUCGGGAUAGGGGAAUGGAUUGAUAGAAGCUUGGAGCUGGUGGGAGCUGAGAGUGAAUGGGUGGGUGGGUGGAUAGAUGGAUGGAUGAAUAGAGGUAUGGGAUGGGUAAAUGAAGGAAGAAUGCGAUGGGUAAAAGGUCUACCUUCCUCAAGCCACCACAACCUCCUGCUUCCACACAGAGUCUGUGAGUCUGUUCUUUCCUGCAUCUCCAACCAGUGAGCCCAAUGGCCCCAGGCCUGAGCCCAGUCCUCCUGCUGGAGGUGGACCUGGGGCCUCAGAGGCAGGAGUGCUUUUCCCUCCUCCCUUGCUAGGCCUGCUCGCUGGCCUUCCAUGGCCCAGUGCUGACACCUAGUGGUGUUGCUAGAGCAUAGCCAUAGCCUUCCUCUCACAGACGCCUCCCACUGCCUCCACCGCACACUGGCAGGGCUAGCCUGGAAUCCGGGUGAACCUAGAAGCUUGCUCGUAGAAACCUGGUGUCUUGUCAAUCAGAACACUCAAGUUAAGUCAAGUCAGAGAUGUUCCCAAGGUCACACAAGGAAUCCCAGGACUCCCUUGACCCCUGCCUCCCGCGUCCUCCGAUCACAGAACCUCUGGAUGCUUGCUGAGUGAGGGAAGACACAGACACCAGAAGGAAGGAACUGGAGAUGGAGGGAGACAGAAACUAAAUUAUGAGACCUGGAGGUACAGGGCAGGAUGGACGCUAUUUAUUAUAUUACCAAAAUGCAAACCGGGCUGGAAAGACAGCUCAGUGGUUAAGGCGCUUGCUUGCAAAGGCUCCGAUCCCCCAGCACCCACGUAAAGCCAGACGCACAGAGUGGCUUGCA